UACGAAGGGGGCUAGCGUUGCUCGGAAUCACUGGGCGUAAAGGGUGCGUAGGCGGGUUCUUAAGUCAGGGGUGAAAUCCUGGAGCUCAACUCCAGAACUGCCUUUGAUACUGAGAGUCUUGAGUUCGGGAGAGGUGAGUGGAACUGCGAGUGUAGAGGUGAAAUUCGUAGAUAUUCGCAAGAACACCAGUGGCGAAGGCGGCUCACUGGCCCGAUACUGACGCUGAGGCGCGAAAGCGUGGGGAGCAAACAGG
rnacentral:rRNA from 1 species